rnacentral:rRNA from 1 species
GAUGAACGCUGGCGGCGUGCCUAAUACAUGCAAGUCGAGCGAACGGACGAGAAGCUUGCUUCUCUGAUGUUAGCGGCGGACGGGUGAGUAACACGUGGAUAACCUACCUAUAAGACUGGGAUAACUUCGGGAAACCGGAGCUAAUACCGGAUAAUAUUUUGAACCGCAUGGUUCAAAAGUGAAAGACGGUCUUGCUGUCACUUAUAGAUUGAUCCGCGCUGCAUUAGCUAGUUGGUAAGGUAACGGCUUACCAAGGCAACGAUGCAUAGCCGACCUGAGAGGGUGAUCGGACACACUGGAACUGAGACACGGUCCAGACUCCUACGGGAGGCAGCAGUAGGGAAUCUUCCGCAAUGGGCGAAAGCCUGACGGAGCAACGCCGCGUGAGUGAUGAAGGUCUUCGGAUCGUAAAACUCUGUUAUUAGGGAAGAACAUAUGUGUAAGUAACUGUGCACAUCUUGACGGUACCUAAUCAGAAAGCCACGGCUAACUACGUG